GGCGGGGGAAUAUUACUAACAUAACAGUCAGAAGCACCAGGCUACUAAAGGAUCGCAAUAAUGCCUUACGUCCUCAUCAGCACUCAGAUCCGACUGAUAUCAAUAAGCCUGGAACUAAAAAUGAGAACUGGUGACCAUGAAACAACUAAGAACAUGACUUGCCAAGCCUUGUUUGACAGCAGCUUUCAAACAUUUGACCUCUAUCACCUAGAAAAAAAUCUGUCAUCCUUACCUGGUCUGGCCUGCGUGUGAGUCAAAAGCACAAAGUGUGAUUGACUCUUAACUGCCCUUUGAAAUUGGCCUUGCAAGCUACUCAAUUUAAUCAAACUGCUACACAAAAUGCAAAUAGGAAUAAAACCAAAUGGAUCAUCCAGUAUUAAUGUAGAUGCUGGAAACAACAAUUGCAAGACAUACUCAAACUUCCUUAUUAACAGCUGAGGGCUUGUGACAAAAUUGGAAGAACUGUCCCACAUAUCAGUCAGGCAACAACCUGACAUAGUCGUACUCACUGAUUCAUGACUUACAGACAAUGAUCCAGACAACAUCAUCUUCAUUCCUCUGUUCGUCCUAUCCCACCAGGAUAGACACACACCAGAGAUGGCAGCACAGGGGAAUUCAGCAAGAGUAUAUUGCCCUGAGAGUCCUCAACCUGACUCCAGUCCCUAUGAAGUUUCAUGGCAUCAGGUCAAGCACCGGAAUCAAUAACAAUUAACAUCUACUGCCCUUAACUGGUGAAUCAGUGUUCCUCCAUGUUGAACAUCCUUGGAAGAAGCUCUGAGGGCAAGAGGAUGGAAUGUAUUCUGGUUAGAGGAACUUCAACACCCAUCAUCAAGAGUGGCUUGGUCACACCUUUGUUGGCCAAGCUGGUGAAGUUCUGAAGGAGAUAUCUGCCAGACUUGCACUGUGGCAAGUCAUGAGAAAACCAACAAGAGGAAACUGGGCCCACAAUUGUGGGGGACGAGCACUCGGAUGAGGAGCUUAUGAGAUACCUUGGAGCUGAGAAAACUAUUGCAUUUGGAAGUAACUU